GUUACAGGCCAAUAAGACUCUUGCCGUGAUUUGCGACGCUCCAAUUCAUUUGUAUCUAAAACAGGGAUCCACUUGGCUUGUCCUGGUAUGCGCCAAUGCAUUAAUACCAACAAUACCCCAGUUGAAUCGUAGAUGUAAGGAUCUCCAACAUCCGAAAAGAAAACACUCUCUAACGUUCCUUGGGGUGGUAAUGCAACCCCAUCACCAGUUUGCAACAUUUCAUCACGAGAAAUGUCUUCAAUGGAAUAAACAAGACGAGAAUUUCCAUCAGAGCUCAAACCAUCGUUGGCGAUGGUUAUAAUCGUAUCCUGAAAAGAUGAACAAGCUACAAAUGGCAAGUGUUUACUCCUGUGAAUGCUAAUUGGAAAGCCUUGUCUUGAGAAUACGCGAACAUAUCCAGCACUCGUACAUACCAGUACAACGCUUGAGCUUAAUGAAAUUGUCACAGGACUUUCAUUCUCCAUGGGUAAAGCCAUUGCCCAUUCAGAUUUACGCGACCAAUCAACAUGUGCUUUAUAAUAAAUAACACCAGGUGAACUUUCC